GACGAACGCUGGCGGCGUGCCUAAUACAUGCAAGUCGAACGAGUGGCGGACGGGUGCGUAAUGUCUGGGAAACUGCCUGAUGGAUGGGGAUAACUACUGGAAACGGUAGCUAAUACCGCAUACCAUAAAAUGUUCCCAGAUGGGAUUAGCUUGUUGGUGGGGUAACGGCUCACCAAGGCGACGAUCCCUAGCUGGUCUGAGAGGAUGACCAGCCACACUGGAACUGAGACACGGUCCAGACUCCUACUGGAGGCAGCAGUGGGGAAUAUUGCACAAUGGGCGCAAGCCUGAUGCAGCCAUGCCGCGUGUAUGAAGAAGGUCGUCGGGUUGUAAAGUACUUUCAGCGGGGAGGCGUUACCCGCAGAAGAAGCACCGGCUAACUCCGUGCCAGCAGCCGCGGUAAUUC
rnacentral:rRNA from 1 species